rnacentral:rRNA from 1 species
CCUACGGGUGGCAGCAGUGGGGAAUAUUGGACAAUGGGCGAAAGCCUGAUCCAGCCAUGCCGCGUGUGUGAAGAAGGCCUUCGGGUUGUAAAGCACUUUCAGUGGGGAAGAAAGCCUUGGGGCUAAUACCCUCGAGGAAGGACAUCACCCACAGAAGAAGCACCGGCUAACUCCGUGCCAGCAGCCGCGGUAAUACGGAGGGUGCGAGCGUUAAUCGGAAUUACUGGGCGUAAAGCGCGCGUAGGCGGUCUGAUAAGCCGGUUGUGAAAGCCCCGGGCUCAACCUGGGAACGGCAUCCGGAACUGUCAGGCUGGAGUGCAGGAGAGGAAGGUAGAAUUCCCGGUGUAGCGGUGAAAUGCGUAGAGAUCGGGAGGAAUACCAGUGGCGAAGGCGGCCUUCUGGACUGACACUGACGCUGAGGUGCGAAAGCGUGGGUAGCAAACAGGAUUAGAUACCCCGGUAGUC